ACGGGUAGAACCGCCCCGCCAUGGUUCCCGGGAACCGCCAGAACCGGAACCGCCAGGGCCGCGGUUACGCUCCGAUUCCGGUUCGAAACCGCGAAAUUUACACCCUUAGAAAAGCUAAAGACAGCAGUCACAAACAAAAUUUUGGAUGAUCCUAUCGUCUUUUUGCUCGUCGUGCAAGGCAAACAGAUCCCAAUUCCAAAGAAGGAAAUCGGCGGGCAACUCUAAAAAAUGGUGACCACAUCCAUAAUCACAUCUUCCCGCCGGUAACGCUGUGAAGUAAAUUCACACAUCAGCCCGUUUACCCUCCCCUGUUCUAACCCAAUUGAAAUUUCUGAGAGUCGGGGUCGAUUUUGCCGUCGCUAGAUUCCGGUCAUGGUCGUUGAUUCACUGUUGUUUGGUCCAGUUGUUGAAUGGUAGACCUUUUAAAAUUCAGAUCUCGCCAAUAAAGGUCUGUUUCUUUUACAUAUGUACCAUGUCUUCCUAAUUUGAUUCCAAAAUUUGGUUAAACAAGUUUUGUCAUUAAGUUUUUAUAUUUAUGUGAAUGUUCAUUUCAUGUCACAAAUAUGGCUUUACUUAAUAAGGUGAUUUUGUGCUUGCUGGUAUUAAAAUACAUUUAGCCAUUUCUUAGCAUGUAUGUUUGUUGGUGUUCUUAA
rnacentral:lncRNA from 1 species